UGAGGAACAUGACCUUCGGCGGGGGAGUAGCCGGCCCAACGGCCGGGUAAUACCGCGUACGACCACAUGGGGACAUCCCCGAGUGGUGAAAGCAGCAAUGCGCCGAUGGAGUGCCUCGCGGCCUAUCAGCUAGUUGGUGAGGUAACGGCUCACCAAGGCGACGACGGGUAGCUGGUCUGAGAGGGCGAUCGGCCACACUGGGACUGAGACACGGCCCAGACUCCUACGGGAGCAG
rnacentral:rRNA from 1 species